ACAUCCAGCGAACUUGGCAGAGAUGCCUUGGUGCCUUCGGGAACGCUGAGACAGGUGCUGCAUGGCUGUCGUCAGCUCGUGUUGUGAAAUGUUGGGUUAAGUCCCGNAACGAGCGCAACCUUUAUCCUUUGUUGCCAGCGAUUCGGUCGGGAACUCAAAGGAGACUGCCGGUGAUAAACCGGAGGAAGGUGGGGAUGACGUCAAGUCAUCAUGGCCCUUACGAGUAGGGCUACACACGUGCUACAAUGGCGCAUACAAAGAGAAGCGACCUCGCGAGAGCAAGCGGACCUCAUAAAGUGCGUCGUAGUCCGGAUCGGAGUCUGCAACUCGACUCCGUGAAGUCGGAAUCGCUAGUAAUCGUGGAUCAGAAUGCCACGGUGAAUACGUUCCCGGGCCUUGUACACACCGCCCGUCACACCAUGGGAGUGGGUUGCAAAAGAAGUAGGUAGCUUAACCUUCGGGAGGGCGCUUACCACUUUGUGAUUCAUGACUGGGGUGAAGUCGUAACAAGGUAGGCGUAGCGAG
rnacentral:rRNA from 1 species